UCAGGGAAAAACCCACUUCCUCCACCUUCUCCCCGACCCAAUCUCCAUCUCUCUCCCAGUCCCUAACUACCCACCCAGCGGCUGCCCCUCUCUCCGCCGAGAAAAAUCGCCGGAUCCCCGCCCCAAGCCCCCAAAACUCCUGCCACGGUUGGGGUCUCCGGUGUAGGAGGAUCCACAGCCCGCGGUGGGUCUUCUCCCCUGCACCCCGAGCUCCGAUGGCCUCAAUCUGGGAGCCGAGUGGAGGCGCGGUGGUGCCAAGCAUGGCGAUUCUGAUCCUGAUAGCGUCCUGGCCACGGUCGCCGACGGCACGCCCUCACAAGAGUCCCGCACGGGAGCCAUAGGAGAGGGUGGCACACUGGCUGCACCGAUGAGUUCGCAACCAUCAUGCACGUCGACAUUAGCUGCGGCACGUACGAGCCCUGCAUCAUCGGCGAGAUCGGCCUAGGUUACUACACCGGCGACCUCUGUGGUACAUGCGAUGAUGCCAGCAGAUCCACAAGAUUAGAUGCGUGCACUUGCUGGUGAUUAUAGCCAUCUUGGACGCCUUCUUCGUGGACCCCGGCUUGCUCAAGGUUCCCUGCCUGUCGAAUUUUUUUCUCUGCCGAGAAGUGCAUAUUGUUGAUUGGUCCGGCUUACAAAGAGGAGUACCAGCUUCCCGAGUCUCUUACAGAGGCACUCUAAGUCUCUCGUACUAGCAUUUGUUGCUCUGUUAAGUUCGUUAGCUUGAGAAUGCACUGUGCAUAUAUAAAUACUUGUCUCUGUAACUAUAGCUCCAUCUAUCAGGUGAUUCUUUGACUUGAGUUAACACCUGCUGUUUUUCUGAAUGUUAUCUGAAUCUAGGAAAUUACCUGAUUGUUCAAUUCAUGUAUAUGAUUUUUGGUUAUCAGUGAUGUGAUCCUACUUUUUUUUUCGUGUGUGUGUGUGUGUGUGCGCGCGUGCAUGC